UACGUAGGGUGCGAGCGUUACUCGGAAUUACUGGGCGUAAAGCGUGCGCAGGCGGUUUUGUAAGCCAGAUGUGAAAUCCCCGGGCUUAACCUGGGAAUGGCAUUUGGGACUGCAAGGCUGGAGUUUGGCAGAGGAGACUGGAAUUCCCGGUGUAGCAGUGAAAUGCGUAGAUAUCGGGAGGAAUACCGAUGGCGAAGGCAGGUCUCUGGGCUAUAACUGACGCUCAUGCACGAAAGCGUGGGGAGCAAACAGG
rnacentral:rRNA from 1 species